rnacentral:rRNA from 1 species
AGUGAACGCUGGCGGUAGGCCUAACACAUGCAAGUCGAACGGCAGCACAGUAAGAGCUUGCUCUUACGGGUGGCGAGUGGCGGACGGGUGAGGAAUACAUCGGAAUCUACUUUUUCGUGGGGGAUAACGUAGGGAAACUUACGCUAAUACCGCAUACGACCUACGGGUGAAAGCAGGGGAUCUUCGGACCUUGCGCGAUUGAAUGAGCCGAUGUCGGAUUAGCUAGUUGGCGGGGUAAAGGCCCACCAAGGCGACGAUCCGUAGCUGGUCUGAGAGGAUGAUCAGCCACACCGGGACUGAGACACGGUCCAGACUCCUACGGGAGGCAGCAGUGGGGAAUAUUGGACAAAGGGCGCAAGCCUGAUCCAGCCAUACCGCGUGGGUGAAGAAGGCCUUCGGGUUGUAAAGCCCUUUUGUUGGGAAAGAAAAGCAGCAGGUUAAUACCCCGCUGUUCUGACGGUACCCAAAGAAUAAGCACCGGCUAACUUCGUG